rnacentral:lncRNA from 1 species
UCUUUGAGAGACUAAGCAUCUGUUUGUUUCACGGAAGAUGAAGUUCAAAUUGAAAUAAACUUUUUCGAGAAAAUUAAAAUUCAGGUAAAAAUUAAUUCUCUCUCGCUGUUUUUGCUGUUCCAUUAGCAAAAAGUAAACAACAUGAAAGCUAAAAUUUUCACACGUCUUGUGUUUGUUUCAUCAAAAAUUAUUGAAUCUUCACGUCUCUGUAUUUGUUUCACCAAAAAAAAAAAUCUCCAUCAUUAAUAUUUUAUUUUAUUUUAUUUUAUUUUUAUUUUAAUUGACCUCGGCCCAAGGCGCCCGAGGUGGGAUGAAGUAAGGAUGCAAAUGGAUAUGGGUAGGUAGAGAUGCAAAUGAAUUUGGGCGGUAAAAAAUAGUUCGUUCCGAAUCCACCUCGAUGUGCAAAGAAAAUAGAGAGAUAGGUAAGAUUCCCUUCCCCUUUUUUCUAUCUAUCCUAAUCCACUAAAAAUUCGCUCCCGUCCUUAAUAUGUCCAGAUCACUUUAAUUCCAACAUUUUCAAGAAUUAAAGUUUCGCUGGAAGAUGAAAUUAUAGUAUAUUUAACAAUAAAAAUAAAUAUAUAUAGUUGAAACCAUUUUGGCCCUAUUCAGCACUCUUGGUGAAACAAUCACACAACCUCAAAAAAAAUCUAGAAUGCAGUAGUCAUAUUAUUGACGUGGUGUCUCCAACCAAUCAAAUUGCUUUUCUGGAGUUCACUCGUCCCAUAAUGAUUUUUGGAUAAAUAUUUUUAUCAUAUUUUUCUCUCAAAAUUUUAAAAAAAUUAUAGUUGAUCAGAAUAGAUAAUGUGAUAUAGCUGCCACGUAAUGAACUUCCUCUCCGAGCUUUCUUGUAAAACCAAAUAAUAAUAAUAAUAAUAAUAAUAAUAAUAAUUUGACUUUUGCUUAUCUAUCGCUUACUUACUAUUUAAGAAAGGACUUUUUUGUAUUUAGUUUCUCACAAAAAAAAUUUUUAUAACUAACCCCACAAAACUUAUAUUUAUAAGAUUGACUCUAUCCCUGCCAGGCAACCGCCAUACAAGCGCCAUGUGAUGUGGCAAUAGGUUAAGUUGAACAUAGUAAAUCAUUCAUCAUAUCUAAAUACGGUGAAUAAUUCACUGUACGUGUCCUUCCUAAAUCCUAAACCCGAAAUAUUACGUAACACCAUAGUAAAAAAAUAAUGAAACACAAUUAACAAUUCACUGUCAUGUUCAACUAACCUACGCCGCCGUCCAUGCUCGCAUGGUAGGGAUAGGACUAAUCUUUAAAAACAUAAAUUUUAU